UACGUAGGGUGCAGGCGUUAAUCGGAAUUACUGGGCGUAAAGCGUGCGCAGGCGGUUUUGUAAGUCAGAUGUGAAAUCCCCCGGGCUCAACCUGGGAACUGCGUUUGAAACUACAAGGCUAGAGUGUAGCAGAGGGGGGUGGAAUUCCACGUGUAGCAGUGAAAUGCGUAGAGAUGUGGAGGAACACCGAUGGCGAAGGCAGCCCCCUGGGUUAACACUGACGCUCAGGCACGAAAGCGUGGGGAGCAAACAGG
rnacentral:rRNA from 1 species